rnacentral:rRNA from 1 species
GACGAACGCUGGCGGCGUGCUUAACACAUGCAAGUCGAACGGAAAGGCCCUGCUUUUGUGGGGUGCUCGAGUGGCGAACGGGUGAGUAACACGUGAGUAACCUGCCCUUGACUUUGGGAUAACUUCAGGAAACUGGGGCUAAUACCGGAUAGGAGCUCCUGCUGCAUGGUGGGGGUUGGAAAGUUUCGGCGGUUGGAGAUGGACUCGCGGCUUAUCAGCUUGCUGGUGGGGUAGUGGCUUACCAAGGCUUUGACGGGUAGCCGGCCUGAGAGGGUGACCGGCCACAUUGGGACUGAGAUACGGCCCAGACUCCUACGGGAGGCAGCAGUGGGGAAUAUUGCACAAUGGGCGGAAGCCUGAUGCAGCAACGCCGCGUGCGGGAUGACGGCCUUCGGGUUGUAAACCGCUUUCGCCUGUGACGAAGCGUGAGUGACGGUAAUGGGUAAAGAAGCACCGGCUAACUACGUG